GCUGAAUGGCGCAGCGGAAGCGCGCCGGGCUCAUAACCCGGAGGAGUAAGUUCAUAUCCCCUAUUUCUUCA